UACGUAGGGCGCAAGCGUUAUCCGGAAUUACUGGGCGUAAAGGGCUCGUAGGCGGCCAACUAAGUCGGACGUGAAAUCCCUCAGCUUAACUGGGGAACUGCGUCCGAUACUGGAUGGCUUGGAUCUGGGAGAGGGAUGCGGAAUUCCAGGUGUAGCGGUGAAAUGCGUAGAUAUCUGGAGGAACACCGGUGGCGAAGGCGGCAUCCUGGACCAAUAUUGACGCUGAGGAGCGAAAGCCAGGGGAGCAAACGGG
rnacentral:rRNA from 1 species